rnacentral:rRNA from 1 species
UACAGGGGGUGCAAACGUUGCUCGGAAUCAUUGGGCGUAAAGCGCACGUAGGCGGUCUGUUAUGUCGGAUGUGAAAGCCCUUGGCUUAACUGAGGAAGUGCAUCCGAAACUGGCAGGCUAGAGUACUAAAGAGGGUCGCGGAAUUCCAGGUGUAGCGGUGAAAUGCGUAGAUAUCUGGAGGAACACCGGUGGCGAAGGCGGCAUCCUGGACCGGCAUUGACGCUGAGGCGCGAAAGCCAGGGGAGCAAACGGG